rnacentral:rRNA from 1 species
GACGAACGCUGGCGGCGUGCUUAACACAUGCAAGUCGAACGAUGAAGCCGGAGCUUGCUCUGGUGAAUUAGUGGCGAACGGGUGAGUAACACGUGAGUAACCUGCCCUUGACUCUGGGAUAACUGCGGGAAACUGUAGCUAAUACCGGAUACGACCCUCGGAGGCAUCUCCUGGGGGUGGAAAGAAUUUCGGUCAAGGAUGGACUCGCGACCUAUCAGCUAGUUGGUGAGGUAAAGGCUCACCAAGGCGACGACGGGUAGCCGGCGUGAGAGGGUGACCGGCCACACUGGGACUGGGAAACGGCCCAGACUCCUACGGGAGGCAGCAGUGGGGAAUAUUGCACAAUGGGCGCAAGCCUGAUGCAGCAACGCCGCGUGAGGGAUGACGGCCUUCGGGUUGUAAACCUCUUUUAGCAGGGUAGAAGCGAAAGUGACGGUACCUGCAGAAAAAGCACCGGCUAACUACGUGCCAGCCGCCGCAGUAA